UACGUAGGGGGCUAGCGUUGUUCGGAAUUACUGGGCGUAAAGCGUGCGCAGGCGGCUUCUCAAGUCAGGGGUGAAAGCCCAGAGCUCAACUCUGGAAUUGCCUUUGAGACUGAGUGGCUUGAGUACGAGAGAGGUGAGUGGAAUUCCCAGUGUAGAGGUGAAAUUCGUAGAUAUUCGCAAGAACACCAGUGGCGAAGGCGGCCACCUGGACGGUAACUGACGCUGAGACGCGAAAGCGUGGGGAGCAAACAGG
rnacentral:rRNA from 1 species